rnacentral:rRNA from 1 species
UCAGAUGAACGCUGGCGGCAGGCCUAACACAUGCAAGUCGAACGGUAACAGGAAGCAGCUUGCUGCUUCGCUGACGAGUGGCGGACGGGUGAGUAAUGUCUGGGAAACUGCCUGAUGGAGGGGGAUAACUACUGGAAACGGUAGCUAAUACCGCAUAACGUCGCAAGACCAAAGAGGGGGACCUUCGGGCCUCUUGCCAUCGGAUGUGCCCAGAUGGGAUUAGCUUGUUGGUGGGGUAACGGCUCACCAAGGCGACGAUCCCUAGCUGGUCUGAGAGGAUGACCAGCCACACUGGAACUGAGACACGGUCCAGACUCCUACGGGAGGCAGCAGUGGGGAAUAUUGCACAAUGGGCGCAAGCCUGAUGCAGCCAUGCCGCGUGUAUGAAGAAGGCCUUCGGGUUGUAAAGUACUUUCAGCGGGGAGGAAGGGAGUAAAGUUAAUACCUUUGCUCAUUGACGUUACCCGCAGAAGAAGCACCGGCUAACUCCGUGCCAGCAGCCGCGGUAAUACGGAGGGUGCAAGCGUUAAUCGGAAUUACUGGGCGUAAAGCGCACGCAGGCGGUUUGUUAAGUCAGAUGUGAAAUCCCCGGGCUCAACCUGGGAACUGCAUCUGAUACUGGCAAGCUUGAGUCUCGUAGAGGGGGGUAGAAUUCCAGGUGUAGCGGUGAAAUGCGUAGAGAUCUGGAGGAAUACCGGUGGCGAAGGCGGCCCCCUGGACGAAGACUGACGCUCAGGUGCGAAAGCGUG